UGGGCAUCCCAUAUGGGUGUGGGAACGGGUGCAUUGUGGGCACCUUGUGUAGUUCCAAUUCUAUCUCAUUAGGAGUCCUUCUUUCAUUAGUAUUAGACUGAUUCAAAGUAUAUUUGAAUUAGGAGUUAUAUACUUAUUAGAUCAUGAGAAUCAUUUAUAAAUAGAGAGGGUCUCUACCUAUGGAUGUAUAAGAAACAAAUCAGAAUG
rnacentral:lncRNA from 1 species